rnacentral:lncRNA from 1 species
UGAGGAAGAGGGGCCAACACCAAAGUUCCUGUGGAGGACCUAACACUGGAUCGUCUAGGAGAGACCCUUUGAAUUCCCUUGACUCCCACAAAAUUUUCAGUAAGAACCUCCUUUUGUCUGACAUAAGUCAACAUAAUAAAGGGAAGUGCUGUAUGGGGAAUUUAUUUUAGAAUCCUUAUUUCUAAAUCCUCUAAAGACCCUGAGGACAUGUGAUGCAAAGGUUUUAUUGGUGGAGAUUUGAAAAGAAAUGAUUUGUGCAAAGGCCCCUUACACAAGUCUCAUGAAGAGGGCAAGUACCCAAGCUCCUUUUAUGGAGGAAAUAAUUUGGGAUCCAAUGAUAAAGAUGGGCAAUCUCUGAAGAAAACGUCACAAUUUCUUAAGGGACAUGGCCUGGGCACAAUGUUAACAAAACUCCCUAUUUUCCCCACCCCAUAGUAGCUCAGCACCCGCAAUGUGCACUUACGUCGGGUGUCCCCAGACAAAGCCAGUGGGGAGCUCAGCACCAUCAGUGUCACUGUCAGCGCUGUCAUGCAGGAGCCUCCAGGGAGCUUCAGACACACCAUGCUGGAGAACAGGACAGGACCAGGGGCCAGAGAAGCAGGCAAGUCUCACUCAGGGAGAACUAUGAACCCCUCCACCCACAUUCCAAGUUAUAGGGAGGAAGUUACUGAUUUCC